AGUCAGGGUCACUAACCACUACGCCAUUCGGCCGUCAAAAUUAUUUUAAUUUAAUAUUAUUUGAAUACGUACAAUUUUUUUUUUUUCAAGAGCUUAAUACAAUUAACCAAAAAGGAUUGUAUCCUAAGCCAUAAAAAUAAUGGUUAGUUUUUAAAAAUUGACAAUUAAAAUUGUCAUUCACAGUCAUUCACUGUUGUGUGGGUUCGCUGUGCAUUAGUGUUUUCUGUUUCCGUUUUCUGUUUCCGAUUUCUACGUUUUUGCAUUCUCAUUUUGGACUUUUGUUUUGCUUUACGAUUUGUCUGGACAUAUUUUUCUUGGAACGACGACCUUUGCACGGCAUCACGGACUUUGAUAUACUUAGCAUACGAUUGGUAUUAUUUCUCAAGGAGUAAUCAGGAGAUUAUACCUAAUGAGCGAGCCGCAGCCAGGUGCGUCGGGGACUGCUCCGCCGGCGCCGCCGCCGGUCAAAAAACGAAAAUUGGCUGUUAAAAAACAGUUAUCGCAAAGGGAGAAAAAAUUUUUGGUGAAUAUUUAUAAUCACUUGGAGAAAACCUCUCCUACAUACCCAUCAAAAAUGGAAUUAUAUAAAACCACCUCAAAAAUAAUGGACGUCUCAGAAUAUAUUGUUCGUGACGUAAUGAAACAUUACACACAAAAUCAAGAAGUACCCCAGCCUAAGGAGAGACCUGCAAAUCGAGCCAUAAUUGAUAAGUUAGAUGAUUUUAUCUUAUCUGCAAUAAGAAGAAAGGUUCAUAAAUUUUACUAUGAUGGGGAAUUGCCAACCAUUGCCAAAAUUUUUACAGCAGUCAAUGAAGAUGACAGCCUACCAAAUUUUACAUUCGGUACAAUGUAUAGAAUAUUGAAGAAAUUAAACUUCACAUACUGCAAGCGAUCAAGAAAAAGCAUUUUGCUAGAUAGACCUGACUUACAAAUUUGGAGGGUGAAUUAUUUGUUGAAAAUCAAUGAAUACAGAGAGCAAAAUAAAAAGAUUUAUUAUUUGGAUGAAACAUGGCUUAAUGAGGGUGAGAGCUUUUUAUUUAUUUAAAUGCUUAAUUUUUUUUUGUGUUCCGCAGGUUGCUUAAAAACAUUGGUUUGAGAUAAUGGUGAUAGAUAAGAUACUUAUUCCACACAUUAUUUUAAAUUGUGAUAGGUUACAGGUUUGCUUAAUUUUAAAUAUAAACAAUGUUUUUAUUGACAUAAUUAUGUAUUUAAAACAUUUUU